AAAAGUGAUCGUCAUUGGAAGAGACCUUUGUAGAAAGCGAAGGUAUCAUGUGAUGAUUCCAGUAGAAGGGGUUCAAGUGUUAUGGGAGUCCUUGAUGUUCCACCACUGGUAUCACUUUGGGUUACUAUUGGCCUCAUGUAGUUAAUUCGACCAUUAAGGAUGUUAGUACCUCAAAGGCUCUCGUGGCUAAACCAGUUGAACAGUUCUUAUGCGCAUCUGCUCUUCUCGAGGAGAUGUCAAGGCAAGAUGAAAGUGGGGGAAAAACAUUGAGAGUCCUCCAUCCAAAAGAGAUGUAUGCCCUAAAGUGCCUUUAGAGAAGGUCAGAUCGACACAUGCUCCUCUUAAGAUUUCUGAGCCACCUUUAGACACUUCUAAGAGACAAACAUCAGGUCACCCCGAGCCUUCUAAGUGGGUUAGUGAAAAGGUGGUUUCAAACUUCUUUCAAAAAAUAACCUUAUGUAUGUGGGAGGAUAUUCAAGACAAAAUCAUGCAGACUCCUUUUGAAUAUAUCCCCAGACUUAGGCCAGAAAUAGCAAUGGUUCUCUCGGGGAUUGCAAAGAUAAAUGUAGACGACUUGACUUCUCUUGAAGAGUAUCUGAAUAGUUACCUUAAAAGGUAAACAAUUCCAACGAUGUACAAUCUUCAUAUUUUGCACAAUUGUUGUCAACAGAUAAAGUUGUCAAUUAGAUGAGAAGGCAUAUGCCAUUAAUGAAGCCUAACUUUAAUGGACCAAUUACGAGUGGAUGCCAAGGUCAUUCAGGAGAGAGUCACACAGUUAUCUUUAGAAAAGAAGGAACUGGAGAUGAGAUUUGAUUUCAGAGCAUAAAUGUUGAAUUUGAACAAUGGUCGAUCUUAUCUCGUGAGAAAACAAAGGCCAUAGACCAGCAAGAACUAGAAGUUGUCAAGCUCCUGAAUGAAGUCAACACCCUUGAAAGCACCUCUGAUAUUACCGAAGAAGCCAUCGAGGCUCUAGCUAUGGUUCGCAAUAGCAUGAAAGCUGUACGUGAAGAAUUCAAGAACUUCAAGUGGAAGCUUUGAUUUUUU